CAAUGUGACGGCGCAGGAUGAGUCCCUACCAUCUGUCCUCAACACCUCUUCAAACCUGUCAGAUAUGAGGAGAAGAUCUUCCAUCCCCGUUUGCUGACAUUCCUGCUCUAGUACAUGACCACAGCUACCUUCUCGUCCGAUUCGAUGUUCUUGUGGACAACAGUCUCUUGUACAUUUCAAGAUGUACAAUUAUACAAGUCUUGCAUAAUUAUGGGCUGAAAUUCAACAUGGUUGUAUAUUUAAGACAUGAAUAAUUCAAUUAAAAACAUUUCAAACUGAUUUUCAUAAUCAAAAAUUCAAGAAUUCAUAUUCACCUUUCAGAUUUCACUUCCAAAAUAUUCGAUCUAUUUAAAAAUACAACCUAUAAUAUUCAACAGGCAAGUUUCAGUCCAUUUUAUUUCGCUUUACAAAUUCGCUUCCACAAAUUCAGUGGUUCAAAUUCGACAGUAAAUUCACCGUUUCACAUCCGGGAACAACAGGAAAAUCAGUAGAUUACCGAUCACAAUCUCAUCUGCUGUAAAUCGUCUUCACCGGCAGGGGGUGCAAGCGCUACUUUGUCUUAACAAGCAUCAACGAAACCGUCACGAGAGGCCUUCAUAAAACAUCAUUUGACGAAAUGGACCGAGCGCAUUUGCUUUUGGAUUAUGUUUUGGAAAGACUCCGUUCACGCUUGGAAAAUGCUGUUGGACGCCAACCCCUUGACAUGGACUACCUGGAGUUCAUCUGCUCUCAAGAAUUAGUCUUUUUAAGUGCUGUGACCAAUUUAGUUACCAUCCCAGCUGAUAUUUUCGAGGGCAUCACAGAACUGCUCAGACUAGUUCGACUAAACCCGUCAGACGGGGAGACGCGCACUUCGACUAUUCUGCAGGAGUCAGGGUCGAUGGGACGACCACGUCUUCUAAUCUCACCAGACUACAUCACCAAUCUCCUGGACAUGAACUUUUCUGUUCCAACCAUUGCUUGCAUGCUUGGAGUAAGUACACGCGCAGUUUUCAGACGAAUGGUUGAAUGUAACCUCUCCAUUCGGGCGCGAUAUAGCACUCUCACGGACGAAGAGUUAGAUGAUUGUGUGAAAGAUGUAAAGCAACACAUGCCUCAGUGUGGAUACAGAAUGAUGAGAGCAGCUGUAAAGGACACCAAGUGCAGUUCGACCGGGUCAGGGCAGAUACAGUGGGAGUCAUGUCCCGAAGGGCACAGUUGGGCUGCGUGGUACGAAGGACCCAUUCAGUGUCAGGUCCUAGGUCAAUAAUGCACAUUGACACCAACUAUAAACGGAUUCGCUACAAUAUAGUCAUCUUUGGGGUGUGGAUGGCUUUUCACGCAAGAUAAUGUACCUUGGAGCUUCAUCUAAUAACCUUGCUAAAACCACCUUGGAUUUUUUUCAAGAAGCAGCGGAGACAUUUGGCUUCCCUCUCAGGGUACGAGGAGAUCAGGGUGUCGAAAAUGUGGACGUGGCUCGCCUGAUGUUCACAGUUCGUGGGACAGAAAGAGGAAGCUUUAUUUCAGGAAAGAGCGUCCACAAUCAGCGUAUAGAGAGGUUGUGGAGAGACGUCUGGUCAUCAGUGACAAAUGUCUACUACGAUGUUCUGCAUGCUUUGGAAGAAGGGAUUCAGCACACCACAGAUAGACUGGGAGAGUAGUGGACUGAUGUUGAUGCACAUUCCAGCAUUGUUGUGCCUCAAACCCAAUGUCCCCUGACUGAUGAGCGAAUAGAAGCACUCAGAGAAAAUGUUGACCCCAAAGGACCUUCACAGACUUUUGGCUGGGACAUCUAUCUAGCUGCACUUCAUUUUUGCCAAUCGAUUAUGGAAUAAAUGUGAUUGUCAUCUUUAGCCUUAAAGAGGCAGACUUCUAGCAGAAGCAAUUAAGAAAGAAUUAAUAUUUGUACUCAAUACGUUAAAGUAUCUGAAUAAAAAAAACCUGUAUGUAA